UACAGAGGGUGCGAGCGUUGUCCGGAAUCACUGGGCGUAAAGGGCGCGUAGGCGGUCUUUUAAGUCAGGGGUGAAAUCCUGGAGCUUAACUCCAGAACUGCCUUUGAUACUGGGAAGCUAGAGUCCGGAAGAGGUGAGUGGAACUGCGAGUGUAGAGGUGAAAUUCGUAGAUAUUCGCAAGAACACCAGUGGCGAAGGCGGCUCACUGGUCCGGUACUGACGCUGAGGUGCGAAAGCGUGGGGAGCAAACAGG
rnacentral:rRNA from 1 species